rnacentral:rRNA from 1 species
UACGGAGGGUGCAAGCGUUAUCCGGAUUCACUGGGUUUAAAGGGUGCGUAGGCGGGUAAGUAAGUCCGUGGUGAAAUCUCUGAGCUUAACUCAGAAACUGCCGUGGAUACUAUUUGCCUUGAAUAUUGUGGAGGUGAGCGGAAUAUGUCAUGUAGCGGUGAAAUGCUUAGAUAUGACAUAGAACACCAAUUGCGAAGGCAGCCCACUACACAAUCAUUGACGCUGAGGCACGAAAGCGUGGGGAUCAAACAGG